rnacentral:lncRNA from 1 species
GUGCUCUGGGGAAGUAGAUCCCUGCGGUGGUGCUGAGGAAAGACUAAGGUACAUAGUUCUGAGGCAGGCUGGGGGAUGGAGAAACCAGCAAGAUCAAAAAUAAAGAGGAAGAAGAGGCCAUGACAGCCUGGGCAUCCGAUGCUUUUGACUCAGAAAAUCACAAAAGUCUUGGAGAAGAUUCCAGUGCUCCACAGAGCACUGGGGGCCCAAGGUUGAGAUGUAGGCUGAAGGGAGGGGGCUGAGGAGGCUGUGCAAUCCAUCUCCAAGAAACUGGACACAAGGCCUAGCCCAGCUCAGCAGGGCUACAGACUCCACAAAGGCCUUGGGAGCCAAGCAGGGGGCAGGUGCUUGUAUACCCUGGGCCGCUCUCAAGCUUCCAAGGCUCCCAGGAGGCCAGUGCUGGCUACCUCCCAGCCUCUGUCUAGCCCAUCAGUACCCCAACCUUCCAAUGUCCUCUGGUUGGUCUCCUGCCUCAUUUACUUAAUCCUUCAAGCUGAAUUGGUUGUCCUGGGCCCUGAACCCAGGCAAUCAACAGAGCAGAGCAUUAGCUUUCAUGCUAGUGGCAAAUGGGGGCAGAAGUAUCCAGAGGAAGAUCUGAAUAGUUUCCAUGAACUUAGGAAAAUAACUAAGCCUAAGAAAAGACUGAGCUCUGUGCAUUCUACAACACAAUCAUUCAUUCAUUUAUCCCAACUCACUCACCUCUUCAGCCGCAGCCCCUCUCACACACCUGCUCCGUUACUGAGCAUUGCAGUCCAGCCUGACAUCUCAGUGGAGUUGGUUUUCUGGGACUCUUUCCUCUUUCACCCCAAUCCCUAUUUGUUCCUUUCUUCCUCUCCUUUCCUUCCCAAUGGCAGUUUUUUUCUUUUAAUUUUAGAAGAAAACUUACAAAAAUUGUUGAAACAUUCACUACAAAGCAAAAUCUUAUUUUUUUUAACAUUCAGCAGAGAGCUCCUCACCCCCCACCCCCCAAAAAACCGGCAGCCAUGUCAAAGACACUGCCUCCCCCUUUGACAUUCAUGCAGUGCUCCGAGUCAGCUGGGGUCUCCGCUCUGACAAAUUUGCAUCUCUUUGAAUGUGACGCUUGAAAAAAGCCGGAGCCGCUAGAUUAAAUUUUUUUUUCCGUCGAGAAAAUGAGAAAAGCCU